GUUGCAGAAAGCUCGACAUAGGGAUAGUGAUCUGGCGGCCUCAUGUUACGAAGUUUCCGUCAGUCACAUGUACAAUGUCCUUGACCUCAUUUUCAUGGUUCAGUGACUAUUUGAAAAAAAAAGUUAAUAUUUUUUGUAAUGUUAAAUUCUCUCUUUUUAUAAGUAAUAGGAUAACUAUAUUUGGUAUGUGCGUACCUUGCAAGGUCCUCAUGCCUGUCAGACAGUUUUCACUUGACCUCGACCUCAUUUCAUGGAUCAGUGAACAAGGUUAAGUUUUGGUGGUCAAGUCCAUAUCUCAGAUACUAUAAGCAAUAGGUCUAGUAUAUUCGGUGUAUGGAAGGACUGUAAGGUGUACAUGUCCAACUGGCAGGUGUCAUCUGACCUUGACCUCAUUUUCAUGGUUCAGUGGUUAUAGUUAAGUUUUUGUGUUUUGGUCUGUUUUUCUUAUACUGUAUGCAAUAGGUCUACUAUAUUAGGUGUAUGGAAUGAUUGUAAGGUGUACAUGUCUAGCUGGU